AAAAUCUUUAGGGGCAGGGUGUAAUUCCCGACCGGCGGUCAGAGUCCGCGAGCUGCAAUGCAGUUGAUUCGGUGAAAUUCCGGAACCGACAGUCAAAGUCUGGAGGGGAUAAAGAUUUU
rnacentral:ncRNA from 1 species